rnacentral:lncRNA from 1 species
GAAAAUAACAAAUUCAGACUCAACUGGUGACAGCUUUUGGCUAUAGAGAAUGAAACUGCUUCCCUUUGGCGGUGGAACUCUUAAACUUCGAAGAGUGAAAGAAUACAAUGAAAUAAAAUGCCAUAAGAUCACUGGAUUUUUCAGAAAAAGGAAGACCCCAAAUUACUCCCAAAAUGAGGCUUUGUAAAUUCUUGUUAAAAAUCUUUAAAUCUCGAAUUUCCCCCUACAACAUCUGAUGAGUGCUUUAAGAGCAAACGAGCAAAUCCCACCUCGAGAAUCAACAAACCCAAGCUCUGGCCAAGGCUCUCCCCGCGUUUUCUUCUCGUGACCUGGGGAAUGUCCCGCCCCAUCGCUCACCUGGCUCUUGUCAUCUCGCUCAUCUUGAAGUGACCCGUGGACAAUGCUGCUCCCUGCCGCAGCUCCGCCGGUCACUCAGGCAGAACGGGGUAUGCAAAUGGCCUGGAGAGGCCGAGGCCGAACACUGCGCCCAUUGUCCCGGGCGCUCAAAGCGCCGAGCAGCUGCGCAGACUUUCUGGGCUCGGACCCUCGGCCGCCACGCUAAUGUCAUCAUUGCAAAACAUCAGAUUUUGAGAACUAUGCAGUCUGAAUUCAUUAGCAGCCUUCUCGGCGAAGGUUCUUUUCCCCGUGACAAGUUUCAAAGUCCAGACCCCCUCCAACGUUGGUAGGGGUAGGAAGAGGAGGAGGGGCCCAGGGAGGGGGGUCUUUCGCAAGUGGGGCCUCGGGGGAUCCCUGCUCUCCUUCUGGUGCAUUCCGCAACUUUAAAAGCCUUCCUUGGGGUUCUGAGCGCGGAUGUCUGACUUGAAUGACCUGAGAUUUGGACAUAUUCCCGUUUUCUCCCAAGAGUUGCUUUAAUGUUGCGAGUUUAAAUUCACUGAAAGAGGCCCAGAUACCAAGUCGAGUGAAUUUCAUAGACAUCAUCUUCUGUUUUAAUGAUCGCGGCAGUGAUCGUUUCUGAAGUCAUACCCUUUAGGGUGAACUCACAACAAUGCAUGUCAGAGAGGCUGCGCGCCCUAAAGCAAAACAGUUAAAACAUCAGGCCACGCUCCUCAAACUGCAGGAUUGCAAGCAGCUCACAAACUUCCAGUCCCCACCCCAAGGACUCCAAGCUGCUGUCCCCUCUCUGCCGCAUCUGAGGCUGGGAAAACUUCCUAGGAGAAGGCAAGAGAAAGCCACCAGACCAGAGCCGAGGACUAAACUUUAAGGUCGAAGACGGCAGAGGGGCAGGUUCUCCCCUGCACACCCCAAGGCCUCUCCUGCACCCGCGAGGCCUUCCUUGAGCGCCCAGGCCCCCGAAAUGCCUGCCCUCCUUCUGACAAAAGGAGGGGGUAGGAUGUGAAGGGGUAGUGCAACCAACAAUGUUUUUGUAAACACAACAACAGGGAAAUACAUGGAGGAAAUCUAUUUAUUGGGUGUGUCAUUUUUGGUGGGGGGCGGGAUUGAAAGUGGCGCCAUCUAGACCCAGGAAAAAGCUACGGGGUGGGCGGGGUAAGCGGGGGACUCUUGGUAAAUGUGGAUAAUUUUGAACUGGGACACCAUUUUGUUUCCUUCCUAGAGCAUUGUAUGAUGUGGCCUGAAGGCUCUGGAAAGUCACAGAUCACACCCAGCAGGAGGUUCUUCAUGUGUGCCAGCCCCUGGCUGGGCCUGGGCAGCCUUGCCCCCAUCCUCUGGCCCCAGCUCCUGCCACCCCACCUGCAGACAAGGCUGCCAAAGGCUAGGGACAGGGCUCCAAGCUAGAGGCCGGCUUUUUGGAGAUGUGGCUGUGGGAGGGGAAUCCCAGGAAGUUGCAUAGAGAGGGAGUUUUUGCCAGCCUGGGUCACUGAUGGCCAGUCCGGGUCACUGAUGUCUCCCCAGGGGCAAGGGGACAGUGCCUGGCUAAUUGUGGGUUUCAAAAUCUGUCUGUUGAGGGGAUGCAGAGGUCAUCAUUGGGGGGUGAAGCUGAUGGUCCACAGAAGCUCUGGGCACAGGUUGGACCUCUUUCCUGCACAAAGAACCCUCCAGGGUGCCCAGUGGUUCUGGCCAGCGCCGGAGCCAGUGACGGUUGGCUUGUUCUGGCCUUCCUCCCCUUCUCACACAUGCAUUCUCUUGCACACGUGUCACACACAUUCCUACACACUCACACAAAUUCUCACACAAAUUCCCAGAAUCAAUCUCCCACAUACACAUCCAAGUCACACACUCAUUCUUACAUGCGAUUCACAGAUUCACACGAUUCACAGAUGCAACAGACUCACAGGCAUUCACUCUUACAUAUGACACAGUUGCACACUUGCACACACACACACACACACACACGCACUGCAAUCCCCUUGCAUCUCCACAGUGUCGAAGGCUGGCUGAACACCAAGGUGGCUCUUGGUGGCAGGACUUCUCAUGGGAGGGAAAGUCACAUAGCUGGAAGGUUACUAGCUUAGGGACAUAAUUUCCUUAUUGACUAUAAUCUCCUUAUAGAAAUUCAACAACUAUAGCAGAAAAUGGAGAAUGAGGACAUUUUAUUUCUCAAAGUCAACAGUUCCUUUUCUCCUGCACCUUCGGAGCAGGCUCCUGCCUGAGGCUGCUGAGGUGCUCUGGGUUCUCGCUGUUUGUUUUCAGCAUCCAGGUUCAGGCUUUUCUCAGUGCAUUUUCCUCGGCUGCCCUUGGACUUGUGUUGUCCGGGGUGGUGGCCACUGGCCCCCAGUGGCUACUGAGCAGGGAGAGCAGGGCCCCUCUGUGGUGAGGCGUGCUGCUCAGUGUAAAACACACACGAGAUUUUCCAGAUGCAGUACUCAAAAGCAUGUGAAACUCCUCAGUCAUCACUUAAAAUAUUGAUC